AUCAGCGUUAUUUUGUUAACAAGUUUAAAUAGAAGAGAAAGGAAUAUAAUGGAAUAUAAUAGAAUGGAAUAGGACAGAAUGGAAUAAAAUAGAAUAGAAUGAAAUGGAAUAGAAUAGAAUGGAAUAGAAUGGAAUAGAAUAGAAUGAAAUGGAAUAGAAUAGAAUGGAAUAGAAUGAAAUGGAAUAUAAUAUAAUGGAAUAGAAUAGAAUGAAAUGGAAUAGAAUGGACUAGAAUAGACUGAAAUGGAAUAGAAUGGAAUAGAAUAAAAUGGAAUAGAAUGGAAUAGAAUAGAAUGGAAUAGAAUAGAAUGGAAUAUAAUGGAAUAUGAUAGAGUGGAAUAGAAUAGAAUGGAAUAGAAUAGAAUAGAAUGGAAUAGAAUAUAAUGGAAUAAAAUAAAUGAAAUAUUAUAGAAUAGAAUAGAAUGUAAUGGAAUAGGAUAGAAUGUAAAAGAAUGUAAUAGGAUAGAGUGGAAUAGAAUAGAACGGAAUAGAAUAUAAUGGAAUAGAAUAAAUGAAAUAUUAUAGAAUGGAAUGGAAUAGGAUCGAAUGGAGUAGAAUGGAAUGGAACUUUUUCGAGAACACAUCUGGUCCAUAGGACAGGCCAGGAUCAGUGUUAUUCUGGUCACAUAGCAUCCAUCAUUAAACUAGGUAAUAAUGUUGGUAACACUUUACCGGCACUUAUAACAACAUAUUAUAUGCAUGUGUACGCCUUUAUAAUGUCAUAUAAUAAGGUUUAUAGUAUGUUUUCUUGUGUUAUUGUUAUAAACCACGAGCACAGCAUUACAGGAGUAGCAGGGUAACAUAUUGUUCUAACUGCGGCUAUAUUUCCUGUCAUGAUGGCCUUUAAUACAAAAGGUUACAUUACACACCUCAGACAUUCUUCCCCUCAUGACAAACACCUUCCUGCUCGCCAUGCAUGUGAACCUCAUCCCCAAACAGCCUGGUUGCAUCUCCAUGUUACUGUUCACACCGCGAGUGUAGAAAACACCUUUAAAAGCGGCAGACAUUCAUGCUUCAACCUAGACGGCUGCUGUUACUUUUAUCUUGAGAUAGGUAGGUGAGGAGCAGGUCUAUUGGUUGCAUUGCAUUCAUAGUUUACUUAUAGUGUGAUGUCAUCACCGUUACACGACAAAUGUUAUUUAUAAGGUUUAUUUUUUUUUAGUCAGAAAAUACACGAGGCAGGUUCUCUUUAACGCGGGGUCAGGUGAGAAUCAAAGACACCGAGGCAGGUUUUCUUUAACGCGGGGUCAGGUGAGAAUCAAAGACACCGAGGCAGGUUUUCUUUAGCGCGGGGUCAGGUGAGAAUCAAAGACACCGAGGCAGGUUUUCUUUAGCGCGGGGUCAGGUGAGAAUCAAAGACACCGAGGCAGGUUCUCUUUAACGCGGGGUCAGGUGAGAAUCAAAGACACCGAGGCAGGUUCUCUUUAACGCGGGGUCAGGUGAGAAUCAAAGACACCGAGGCAGGUUUUCUUUAGCGCGGGGUCAGGUGAGAAUCAAAGACACCGAGGCAGGUUUUCUUUAGCGCGGGGUCAGGUGAGAAUCAAAGACACCGAGGCAGGUUUUCUUUAGCGCGGGGUCAGGUGAGAAUCAAAGACACCGAGGCAGGUUCUCUUUAACGCGGGGUCAGGUGAGAACCAAAGACACCGAGGCAGGUUCUCUUUAACGCGGGGUCAGGUGAGCUCAAAGCGAUCUAAUGGGUUCAUUUGAUGGUGUCAAGGUAAGAGUUGAGAAGGACUCUUAUCACUGCCUUCCCAUGGCUGUUUAUAAGGAUCCAAUUCCCCUCUGCCUGUCCAAGGGUUGAAUACUAGGCUUGAUAACAGGUAAAUACACUGCAAACAUGCUCACAUUUUAAGGAGAUCAUUUUAGUUGUUGUUUGGAUGUUAAUUUAUGUUUUGUUUCUACCAUAAGCAAUAUAGAGACAAAUCAGAGAGCAUCUGUCAGCCAUAGGUCUAGCACCGGAUAGAUAUUAAUCUGUCAGCCAUAGGUCUAGCACCGGAUAGACAUUAAUCUGUCAGCCAUAGGUCUAGCACCGGAUAGACAUUAAUCUGUCAGCCAUAGGUCUAGCACCGGAUAGACAUUCAUCCGUCAGCCAUAGGUCUAGCACCGGGUAGACAUUAAUCUGUCAGCCAUAGGUCUAGCACCGGAUAGACAUUAAUCUGUCAGCCAUAGGUCUAGCACCGGAUAGACAUUAAUCUGUCAGCCAUAGGUCUAGCACCGGAUAGACAUUAAUCUGUCAGCCAUAGGUCUAGCACCGGAUAGACAUUAAUCUGUCAGCCAUAGGUCUAGCACCGGAUAGACAUUAAUCUGUCAGCCAUAGGUCUAGCACCGGGUAGACAUUAAUCUGUCAGCCAUAGGUCUAGCACCGGAUAGACAUUAAUCUGUCAGCCAUAGGUCUAGCACCGGAUAGACAUUAAUCUGUCAGCCAUAGGUCUAGCACCGGAUAGACAUUAAUCUGUCAGCCAUAGGUCUAGCACCGGAUAGACAUUAAUCUGUCAGCCAUAGGUCUAGCACCGGAUAGACAUUAAUCUGUCAGCCAUAGGUCUAGCACCGGAUAGACAUUAAUCUGUCAGCCAUAGGUCUAGCACCGGAUAGACAUUAAUCUGUCAGCCAUAGGUCUAGCACCGGAUAGACAUUCAUCUGUCAGCCAUAGGUCUAGCACCGGGUAGACAUGAAUCUGUCAGCCAUAGGUCUAGCACCGGGUAGACAUGAAUCUGUCAGCUAUAGGUCUAGCACCGGGUAGACAUUAAUCUGUCAGCCAUAGGUCUAGCACCGGAUAGACAUUAAUCUGUCAGCCAUAGGUCGAGCACCGGAUAGACAUUCAUCCGUCAGCCAUAGAUCUAGCACCGGAUAGACAUUAAUCUGUCAGCCAUAGGUCUAGCACCGGGUAGACAUGAAUCUGUCAGCCAUAGGUCUAGCACCGGGUAGACAUGAAUCUGUCAGCCAUAGGUCUAGCACCGGGUAGACAUUAAGCUGUCAGCCAUAGGUCUAGCACCGGAUAGACAUUAAUCUGUCAGCCAUAGGUCUAGCACCGGAUAGACAUUCAUCCGUCAGCCAUAGAUCUAGCACCGGAUAGACAUUAAUCUGUCAGCCAUAGGUCGAGCACCGGAUAGACAUUCAUCCGUCAGCCAUAGAUCUAGCACCGGAUAGACAUUAAUCUGUCAGCCAUAGGUCUAGCACCGGGUAGACAUGAAUCUGUCAGCCAUAGGUCUAGCACCGGGUAGACAUGAAUCUGUCAGCCAUAGGUCUAGCACCGGGUAGACAUUAAGCUGUCAGCCAUAGGUCUAGCACCGGAUAGACAUUAAUCUGUCAGCCAUAGGUCUAGCACCGGAUAGACAUUCAUCCGUCAGCCAUAGAUCUAGCACCGGAUAGACAUUAAUCUGUCAGCCAUAGGUCUAGCACCGGGUAGACAUGAAUCUGUCAGCCAUAGGUCUAGCACCGGGUAGACAUGAAUCUGUCAGCCAUAGGUCUAGCACCGGGUAGACAUUAAGCUGUCAGCCAUAGGUCUAGCACCGGAUAGACAUUAAUCUGUCAGCCAUAGGUCUAGCACCGGAUAGACAUUCAUCCGUCAGCCAUAGAUCUAGCACCGGAUAGACAUUAAUCUGUCAGCCAUAGGUCUAGCACCGGGUAGACAUGGAUCUGUCAGUCAUAGGUCUAAGUCCGGAUAGACAUGAAUCCGUCAGCCAUAGAUCUAGCACCGGAUAGACAUGAAUCUGUCAGCCAUAGGUCUAGCACCGGAUAGACAUUCAUCCAUCAGCCAUAGGUCUAGCACCGGAUAGACAUGAAUCCGUCAGCCAUAGGUCUAGGUCCGGAUAGACAUGAAUCUGUCAGCCAUAGGUCUAGCACCAGGUAGACAUGAAUCUGUCAGCCAUAGGUCUAGCACCGGAUAGACAUUCUGAGAAAUUAACAAGACGAAGAUACAACAAGAAAA